rnacentral:rRNA from 1 species
UACGUAGGGGGCAAGCGUUAUCCGGAUUUACUGGGUGUAAAGGGAGCGUAGACGGCGAUGCAAGUCUGAAGUGAAAGGCGGGGGCCCAACCCCCGGACUGCUUUGGAAACUGUAUGCCUGGAGUGCAGGAGAGGUAAGUGGAAUUCCUAGUGUAGCGGUGAAAUGCGUAGAUAUUAGGAGGAACACCAGUGGCGAAGGCGGCUUACUGGACUGUAACUGACGUUGAGGCUCGAAAGCGUGGGGAGCAAACAGG